rnacentral:rRNA from 1 species
GACGAACGCUGGCGGCGUGCUUAACACAUGCAAGUCGAACGGAAAGGCCCUGCUUUUGUUGUUUGCUCGAUUGGCGAACGGGUGAUUAACCCUUGAGUAACCUGCCCUUUACUUUGGGUUAUCUUCAGGAAACUGGGGCUAUUACCGGAUAGGAGCUCCUGCUGCUUUGUUUUUUUUGGAAAGUUUCGUCGGUUGGGGAUGGACUCGCGGCUUAUCAGCUUGUUGGUGGGGUAGUGGCUUACCAAGGCUUUGAAGGGUAGCCGGCCUGAGAGGGUGACCGGCCAGAGUGGGACUGAGAUACGGCACAGACUGCGAGGGGAGGCAGCAGUGGGGAAUAUUGCACAAUGGGAGGAAGCGUGAUGAAGAAACGCAGCGUGCGGGAUGACGGCCUACGGGUUGUAAAAAGCUUUAGCAUGUGACGAAGCGUGAGUGACGGUAAUGGGUAAAGAAGCACCGGCUAACUACGUG